AAUAAUUUUCGGAAAAAAAUUUGCCGUAUGGGCUAACAGUAGAUCUAAUACAUUUUGAUAAAUAAAACAGUGUACAAAAUGGUAUUAACAAUUUUAAUAAGUUACAAAGUGAAAUGAAUGAGAUAAAAAAUUAUUUGCGGAAAAAAUUUUCCAUAGGGGCUAAAAGUUGGUAUAAUAAUACAUUUUAUAAAUGAAGAAAAAUGAAAAUUUGAACAAGAAUAACAAGAAAACAAUAAUAACAAUGAUAACAAAAAAAGGAAAAAAAAUAUCGACAUGACGACACAAAACAAGGCGGCGAGGGAGGAUACGAUAUGGCAAUUCGGUGCCAAAAUGCAAUGUGUUACAGGUCACUGGUUGCCUCCGCAGCGUUUUCCGACCUGACCAACGAACAGACAAGUCAGUCUCAAUCUCCGGUGUUUUAAUAAUGACGGCUUCAGGCUGAGUCAUGCAAAUUUGUAAGACUUCUACAAUUAUAAUAUCUUCGGACGACGUGUGUGCGUAGGAUCUACUGCAGCUGUUGUUUUGCAUGCGUAGUAUCAUCAUUCUUUGAAUAAUAUUUAUAACACUUACCAAUUAACAUUAACAUCACAAUACAACAUUAUGAUUUGUGAUUGCAGGUUUCAUUCUACUGUUUUGGUCUAACACAAAUUUAUACAGAUCUAGUGCAACACGCGUACCUAAUAUCAUUUCAUUGUCGGUCUGAAAUUUUCGUUUACAGUGAUCAGAUCGGGUUUCACAAUGAUUCAAAAUAUGCCAAUAAUAUGUGUUUUAAACGUCUACGCGUAUAUAAGUACCCGAUACGUAUAAUAAUUAUGAAAAUGAGUAAAAAUGGCAUUGCGGACUAAUUUGUAUUAGCUACAGUUCAGAAAUUCAUUGCCAAUGUCAAGUCGAUCUUACAAAAUAAUCAUAAAGAAUGUUGAUCGUGCUGGCCAAGAACUCGGCCCUUUGACAUUAUCCAAUUAUUCGACGGGUUUUCGAUGAAUAGUAUUCAUGAACGAUGUGCAUAGUACAUGAAUCAUCCUCGAAAACUUCGAGGAGUCUUUCACAGUCAUAUUUGUGACGAAUAGAAUCUACGAAGCGACCAGAAUCCCCAAUCAAUAAGGUUAACAUAACAACGAGUUAACCGUGGUCCGUGAGGAUGGCUGAAUGAUCCGAAGGAAAGUACAACGGGAAAACAUUAUAAGAAUUGCUUAUAGAAUUGAAUUUGAGACAUCACAAAUAGCGUUAUAAAAGUAAAAACUUUAUG